rnacentral:rRNA from 1 species
CGUAGAGAUCGGGAGGAACACCAGGGGCGAAGGCGGCCUCAUGGGCUGCUUCAGACGCGGAAUGCGAAAGCUAGGGUAGCGAACGGGAUUAGAAACCCCGGUAGUCCUAGCUGUAAACGAUGGAUGCAAGGUGUAGGAGCUAUAGAUCCCUUAUGCGCCGAAGCUAACGCGAUAAGCAUCCCGCAUGGGGACUACGUCCGCAAGGCUAAAACUCACACGAAUUGACGGGGGCCCGCACAAGCAACGGAGCGUGUGGUUUAAUUCGAUGCUACACGAAGAACCUUACCUGGUUUGACAUGUAGGUAGUAGUGAAGCGAAAGCGGAACGACCUUUCGGGGAGCAUACACAGGUGCUGCAUGCCUGUCGUCAGCUCGUGCCUUGAGCUGUCGGGUUAAGUCCCGUAACGAGCGCAACCCCUGUCCUUAGUUACAAGUGUCUAAGGAGACUGCCGGCGACAAGCCGGAGGAAGGUGGGGAUGACGUCAAGUCAGCAUGGCCUUU